rnacentral:rRNA from 1 species
UGGGGAAUAUUGGACAAUGGGCGAAAGCCUGAUCCAGCAACGCCGCGUGAGGGAUGACGGCCUUCGGGUUGUAAACCUCUUUCAGUAGGGACGAAGCGCAAGUGACGGUACCUACAGAAGAAGCACCGGCCAACUACGUGCCAGCAGCCGCGGUAAUACGUAGGGUGCGAGCGUUGUCCGGAAUUAUUGGGCGUAAAGGGCUCGUAGGCGGUCUGUUGCGUCGGGAGUGAAAACUCAGGGCUUAACCCUGAGCCUGCUUCCGAUACGGGCAGACUAGAGGUAUGCAGGGGAGAACGGAAUUCCUGGUGUAGCGGUGAAAUGCGCAGAUAUCAGGAGGAACACCGGUGGCGAAGGCGGUUCUCUGGGCAUUACCUGACGCUGAGGAGCGAAAGUGUGGGGAGCGAACA